AUUGAACGCUGGCGGCAGGCCUAACACAUGCAAGUCGAGCGGUUGAGGGGAGCUUGCUCCCUGAUUUAGCGGCGGACGGGUGAGUAAUGCCUAGGAAUCUGCCUGGUAGUGGGGGAUAACGUUCCGAAAGGAACGCUAAUACCGCAUACGUCCUACGGGAGAAAGCAGGGGACCUUCGGGCCUUGCGCUAUCAGAUGAGCCUAGGUCGGAUUAGCUAGUUGGUGAGGUAAUGGCUCACCAAGGCGACGGUCCGUAACUGGUCUGAGAGGAUGAUCAGUCACACUGGAACUGAGACACGGUCCAGACUCCUACGGGAGGCAGCAGUGGGGAAUAUUGGACAAUGGGCGAAAGCCUGAUCCAGCCAUGCCGCGUGUGUGAAGAAGGUCUUCGGAUUGUAAAGCACUUUAAGUUGGGAGGAAGGGCUGCUGGUUAAUACCCUGCAGUUUUGACGUUACCAACAGAAUAAGCACCGGCUAACUUCGUG
rnacentral:rRNA from 1 species